GUUUGAUUGCGGUGUUACGCAAUGUAGGAUAAGCAAGAAGACCUCGUUAUAACGGCAGCCUAUGACAAGAGCGAAGAUGCCGGUAAUAUUGUCGAAGGUGGGGAAACUGGCCCAAGAAAUUACCAGAUGAUUCACCGCUGAUAAUCGACGUCGUCGGAUAUAACUCUUCCGAUGAGCGUGAUGACGUCGACGCAGAAUCCACGUUGGGCGAUUCCAGAUUCGGGCUUCCGCCUAAACUUCCGUUUCUGCACACAACAUCCGGACUUCCGGUUGGCUUCUUAUAAAUCGGCGGCUGCGGCGCGCUCACCGGAGGCGACUGAGCGUUAUGGAACGCGGGGACGCGGGUUCCGGUUCCGUGAGCAAUAAGCGGAAGGGAAAGCAUCGGUUGCGCCAGUGGGCCCAUGGAAGUGAAAGACGUCAUCUGAUGAGCGACUUGGGUCCCCGGAAGUGAGACCAUAGACAACAUAGGCACCGGGCUAGGUACAUUGUGUUCGCCAUACAUCCUCGAUUAGUCCCUAAAAUGAACAACUAACAAACCACCUCUAGGCAUAUCAACCUCACCAGUUAUCGUUUUCACACUGCCUGUACUACAGUUAGGUCUAAACACUGUAUGUUUCACAUACUUGUCCUUACGUAUACGCGAGUUUAUUCCGACAAGUUCACCAUUACAACAAGAUUCUGUUUUAACUAUCACCGGGUAUUGUUAAUUAGUGCAAAAUAAUAUUUAAUGCUUUACAUCAUGUCCAUUAAACAACAACAGGUUAAGGUUUUAUCAAGUGUACUGCGCAAAACUUGCACUUUAACUGCCCAACAUAGUGGUCAGUAUGGACAUAAUCACCAGCCAUUACUAACUGACCGGCCGAGUCCAUUUUCUAUUGGUCAGCGAGAGGGCAGUUUGACCUUCUUGCUAGGUCAGGUCUCCGACAGGUAAAGCCACUCAGUUAAUGUUGAAAGCGUCAGUUGCGAAUUGUACCAUUCGUCUUUGUUAAAUAUCAAAUACUCUUUUCAGCGGAUAAAGGAAAUACAUAAUAAAUUUAACUGAUACAAAGCAAUUUA